rnacentral:rRNA from 1 species
UCCCCUAGUAACUGCGAGUGAAGCGGGAAAAGCUCAAAUUUAAAAUCUGGCGGUCUUUGGCCGUCCGAGUUGUAGUCUGGAGAAGUGCUUUCCGCGCUGGACCGUGUAUAAGUCUCUUGGAACAGAGCGUCAUAGAGGGUGAGAAUCCCGUCUUUGACACGGACUACCAGUGCUUUGUGAUGCGCUCUCAAAGAGUCGAGUUGUUUGGGAAUGCAGCUCAAAAUGGGUGGUGAAUUCCAUCUAAAGCUAAAUAUUGGCGAGAGACCGAUAGCGAACAAGUACCGUGAGGGAAAGAUGAAAAGCACUUUGGAAAGAGAGUUAAACAGUACGUGAAAUUGCUGAAAGGGAAACGCUUGAAGUCAGUCGCGUUGUCCGGAACUCAGCCUUGCUUUUGCUUGGUGCACUUUCCGGAUGACGGGUCAGCAUCGAUUUUGACCGUCGGAAAAGGGCUGGAGUAAUGUGGCACCUCCGGGUGUGUUAUAGACUCUGGUCGCAUACGGCGGUUGGGAUCGAGGAACGCAGCGCGCCGCAAGGCAGGGGUUCGCCCACUUUCGCGCUUAGGAUGCUGGCAUAAUGGCUUUAAACGACCCGUCUUGAAACACGGACCAAGGAGUCUAACAUACCUGCGAGUGUUUGGGUGGAAAACCCGAGCGCGUAAUGAAAGUGAAAGUUGAGAUCCCUGUCGUGGGGAGCAUCGACGCCCGGACCAGACGUUCUCUGACGGAUCCGCGGUAGAGCAUGUAUGUUGGGACCCGAAAGAUGGUGAACUAUGCCUGAAUAGGGUGAAGCCAGAGGAAACUCUGGUGGAGGCUCGUAGCGAUUCUGACGUGCAAAUCGAUCGUCAAAUUU